rnacentral:rRNA from 1 species
UACGUAGGGAGCAAGCGUUGUCCGGAAUCAUUGGGCGUAAAGCGCGCGUAGGUGGCCUCAUGAGUCCGCUGUGAAAGUCAAAGGCUCAACCUUUGAAAGCCGGUGGAUACUGUGAGGCUAGAGUACGGAAGAGGCGAGUGGAAUUCCUGGUGUAGCGGUGGAAUGCGCAGAUAUCAGGAGGAACACCAAUAGCGAAGGCAGCUCGCUGGGACGUUACUGACACUGAGGCGCGAAAGCGUGGGGAGCGAACAGG